rnacentral:misc_RNA from 1 species
AUGAGUUUGCGCGGUUGUUGCUGGUUCUUACAAGUGCACACCGCGUCUUUCUUAUCCACCCCACUGUGCAUCUCGGUACGCCUCUGCGCGUAGUCCUUUACAUCUAUACACCUUUUGUAAUGUAGAGAACGUGCCUUUGAAAUAACAAAAUA